GACAAACGGAUCGAGUCAAGAUUUGUUCAGUAUAAAAGGGGGUUAGGAAAAGACUUAGUUAAUAAGAGGAAGAUCUGGCUUUUUUAUAGAGGUGGAAUUUGAAUAAAAAAGUUUGGUUUGUUGUCUUCUGGAUUUCUGAUGCCUCGAAAGUUUGGUAGGAGACCGGGAUUAGAUACCCCGUUAUCUAUUAUAUAAAUUUUAAUUUGGUGUUUAGUUUACUUGGGUAUUACGGGUUGCUUAAGACAGAAUUGCUUGGGCAGAGUGCUUAAAACCCAAAAAACUUGGCGGUGCCUUAUUUCCUUUCAGGGGAACCUGUCCUGUAAUCGAUGGUCCACGAUUUAGCUUACCUUUUUUUGAAUUGUGUUAAGUUUAGUUAUCUAGAUUAACAUAAAGCAGUUUGUAUACCGUCGUCGUCAGAUUACCUUUAAGAGUUAUAAAAGUUGUCGGAAGAGAGUGUAGACUUGAAGUGCUUGUAAAAGUACUUAGAGUUUAUUUCUUAGAUGUCAGAUCAAGGUGCAGCUUAUAAAAAGGAAGAGAUGGGUUACAGUAAAUAUUAAAUAUACGGAUUUCGUGUUGUAAUACGCGAUUGAAGGUGGACUUGAGAGUAAUAUUUUAAGUUUAGAAAAUAAUGAGUUUAUGUGAAUAAUGGUACUAAGGUGCGU
rnacentral:rRNA from 1 species